rnacentral:lncRNA from 1 species
GUCUGGGUCCUAUUUGAUAGUUUGUCAGUGACCUAUCGCCAUGUCCAGUAUCCUCUUGGUCAUUUCUCUGGUCAUCCUGACGGCCACCGUAACAUCCGGAUAUCUCUCUGGGAUGUGGUCCUGGAAGACAUGUAAGACGGCUUGAUUCCUUGGAUUCGGCUGUUAUAGCAGCGAGAAGCAAUUCAACAACACACAGGGCGUUCUUCCAUUGUCGCCAAAGAAACAGGGGCUGCAAUUCUUCCUGUACACCCGCAAGAAUCCCGUCCGUGCCCGAAAGCUCAAGUGGAACCAGAAAAGAAUCCAGGGGAAACUCGAUCUCCAACGUGACACAAUUUUCAUCAUUCGUGGUUGGAUGGAUAGUGCCAGAAAUCCAAAGAUCCGCAGACUGAGGAAAACACUUUUACGAUUUAUACGUAUAUUUCUAUCUAUCUUAGUAAAAAAAAAAAAUCGUUGUUUCAGUCGUGCUAGGGAAUAUACACGUGAAAGAUAUUUCCUGCAAUGUAUAUAUGUUAUGUUGGAACCAACGGGCUUCUAGUAGUUAAUGGUUACCUGGGUUUAUACAUCACAAGAAGUUAGCGGUUAUAUAAUUCUUUGCAGUAGUUAACGGUUUUGUGGGAAUUGAUGAAAGAGGUACUAGCAGUUUACUUGUGAUAGAAUUUCUAUAAUAUGAGCGCUUUCGUUUUGACCAAGAUAUCAACAAAUACAGUUUGCGCGUUUAUUUCAUUUUAGUGAAAGGUUUUGUUGAAAAUUUUGACGGAAAACAAAAUCCGAAAGACCUAAAUUUGAAUUUAUGAUUUUUUGUGACAUUAUACCAAUCCGUUCGUAUAAUUUAUUUGGCUCUAUCCAUCAUAUAUUCAAAAAGUGAUGGUUCUUUAAGAACACUUUAAUCUAAAAAGAAAAUAUGAAAAGUGUCUCAUAGACAGCAUUUGAUAUUUGGAAACCGUUCAAAUAUACGAGGCCUGGAGUGCAUUUAGUAACCAUCAUAGUCCGGGACAAAACCGCAUCCGAGUUUGACGUUGAUUACCUAACAUCUUUCAAAACGACAUGUCUAACCAAUGAUCACGCGUUGCCUUCGUGUAAUUAGCGCAACUACAUAGAUGUGCCACAAAUUUGUCGCAAAUAUAAUACAAUUCGAUUUGGAAUUUAAUAAAUCGAUUCAAAGGACAAAACAGUUAUUGUCAUUUUGAAUACUGACUAUAAGAAAGAAAAAAAAGUUCCUCCUAGCAUCUAGUUAUUAUAGGUCAUUGACCUUCAUACUACGCGACCCAGCUUUUAUCAAAAACGUACCAGUUUGCUUAUUGUGAUACGUACAAUAGGAUAGCUCUGUACAAGAGUCGUUUUGCCAUGUGAACCUGCCAAUUAGAGACUGCAUUCACCAGUAAAGGGUUGCCGAGGAGGUAUACUGUGUAUUCACGGUUCCCUUUGAAAGUUUAAGUUGUCUAAUUAUUUUGCUUUACAUUGAAGUAACCUUAUAGGUUUUCAAUUUUGUAGGUAUCGAUCCUGCCGGGCCGUCGUUUGAAGGUUACCCCGAAGAGACAGUUCUUGACGCCUCCGAUGCCUUGUUUGUAGAUAUACUACACACAGAUGCACGGGAUCUGUUUGUACUAGGUCAUCCGGGCUUUGGUGCCAAGUCAAGAAUGGGACAUGCAGAUUUUUAUGCCAAUGGUGGCCAUUCCCAACCUGGAUGUCCCUCCACUAUGAAUCAGCAGUUGGGCUUGAUAGUGACCGGAAGUGUUGAUGUAUUUAUGAACAUGGGAUGCAGUCACAUACGGGCAGUGAAUCUGUACAUCGAAUCUGUUAAUAUACGAAAAUGCAAGUAUACAUCGUACAAUUGUACCGCAGGGGACGGACUUGAUGUAGCAGAGGGUUGCAACACGUGUGAAAAUGGAUGUGCCCUCAUGGGCUACCAUUCCAACAUUGGGAACCCACGCGGAGUGUUCGUAUUCAAUACAAACGAAAAAGCACCAUUUUGUAUACCUGAAACAGUCAAACUACCUGAAUCAAUAGACAACACAAUCGUCCAUCGAAACCAAAUUCAGCAUUGUGGUAGUGUGUAACUGUCUAUUGUCUUCAUCAACAAAUAUCUCAGCUGAGUGUCCUCUCCAGGAAAG